AGUGAACGCUGGCGGUAGGCCUAACACAUGCAAGUCGAACGGCAGCACAGGAGAGCUUGCUCUCUGGGUGGCGAGUGGCGGACGGGUGAGGAAUACAUCGGAAUCUACUUUUUCGUGGGGGAUAACGUAGGGAAACUUACGCUAAUACCGCAUACGACCUACGGGUGAAAGCAGGGGACCUUCGGGCCUUGCGCGAUUGAAUGAGCCGAUGUCGGAUUAGCUAGUUGGCGGGGUAAAGGCCCACCAAGGCGACGAUCCGUAGCUGGUCUGAGAGGAUGAUCAGCCACACUGGAACUGAGACACGGUACAGACUCCUACGGGAGGCAGCAGUGGGGAAUAUUGGACAAGGGGCGCAAGCCUGAUCCAGCCAUACCGCGUGGGUGAAGAAGGCCUUCGGGUUGUAAAGCCCUUUUGUUGGGAAAGAAAUCCAGCCGGCUAAUACCUGGUUGGGAUGACGGAACCCAAAGAAUAAGCACCGGCUAACUUCGUGCCAGCCGCCGCCGUAAUAC
rnacentral:rRNA from 1 species